AGACUGUGCUACGGCAACGCUGAGGUUAUUCAUGCUCGUGUUUGUUACUUCGGCUCAACACUGAUCGUACCGACUUGCCAGCGGCCGACCGAUCGCUUCCUAGGCACUCAGAGAUGCACUUGAGAGAGCGAUUAGCAAAGCGUUUCACAAAUCACCCAAGGGUGACAGGGCACAAAACAGGAUCCCCGCCCCUAAUGAAGCGAAGAUCAUUAGGGAGGCAAGCCCGCCCAGAAGGCCAGUGGAGGCGAUGAACAAUACAGGUUUACGGAGAUAAUGAAUCGGGCGAAUUCUGUGGAAUCCAUCAUUAUUCGGGCCUUCUUUGGGAGGUUCUGAGCGCCGUCCAAGGCUAUCGCUGGAGAACAGACUCUUCUCCAUCCCAGAGGUCUUUGCGCUCCAAUUGCACGUAAUUGAAUGGAAAUGUAUACAAAUUGGAGUGCAUUUCGAUCACGUAGUGCAUUCAUCAGCGAAACGCUGACACUCGUUGGUGAAAAUCGGAUACGGAUACGAAUACGUGCGAACGGGCGGCCGGCCGGGCAUUUACCACCGAUUAACACAAAUAUCCGAAACAUACAACAAUUAUCAUACGCGGGGGGGUUGGGGGGGGUAUAGAGGGGAGCCAGCACCAGCAUCAGCAUCAGCACUCACUCUCGGUUUCCGUUGAACUCGUUUCCAUCCGACGAGACACAGCCUCUUCAUUUGGGGCCACAGCGAUUACGUGUGGAUCGGGGAACCGGUUCUGGACUGGCAUCUGAAUAUUUCCCAAGCCCCAGCCCCAGCCCAGGCCCCAAGCCCGAACCCAAGCCCGUGCCCAAGCCCCAAGCCCCAAGCCCGUGCCCAAGCCCAAGCGGACGGAAUGUCUUGCCUUAGUUCUGUUCGAUAAAUUAAGUGUCACAAAUCAAGUCAAGUUUUCUUCACUUCCUGGUUGCGUUGGUCAGUUAGAAAAAUGGAAUGAACUUUGAAUGCCUUGGAAGACCGGCCCGAUCGGAACGGAACUGGAAUAUCAAGAGCCAAGAAACGAGAAGAAAAACCAGCAAGAGAGCAACAGAGCAGAGGAGCAGAGGAGCCCUCCCCCAUUGUAGGAGUAUUCCUACGUGUUUCCAAAUGAACUCCGCGACUCUCCGGGAAAGUUGAGAUGCAAUUUGAGAGACCCUCCCUCCCUGCCUCCAUGCCUCCCUGCCGCCCUGCCUCUGGCAUCAUGCAAAGCGAAAACUUGUUGUUUGCGACGGGUUUUAUUGCGUCAAGUUUAUUUGCCUGGGGUUUUUCCACUUUCACCUCAAACAGAGACCCGACACGAGCACAAGCACAAGCACAAGCACAGGCACAGGCAUUAACCAGCAGAUGGCAGACAGAAGAUGGCAGAUCUAGGGUUCAUCUGGGCCACAGCCUCGGCCACUAGUACUCUGUAGAGAGGCUAGCCUCAGACCCAAGAGAGUCUGUCGGGGCUUCAGGGUGAGCUCGGACGUUGGCUAGGGAUCUGCUAGGGAUAGCUCUAGCUUUGAGGUGACUUCUUUGAGGUUUACCCCCGGCUAGGGCUUCCCGAGUCAGCUGGACUAUCUCCUCCAUGACCCUCCAAUGCAAAUGCAUUCAACGGCGAAUGCUUUCCCACUAGUUCCAUCGAUACCAUUCGGUUUUAUUGUCUGUAUAGACUCGUAAAAGUCUCGUAUCUUUUCCGGUUUGCCCUCUACAUCGUGCCAAUUCGUUGCGUAAUGCCCCAACCUGUGCUGUGGUCGCGACUCUUAUGUCAUUGUGUGUCGGUUUGCUUUUAUUUAUGCAAAUCGCCGAGAAAGCGCCGCCACAGAAGUGUCUGCAAGUCAUCCAUCUACGAAAGCCUUUCGAGCCAUCGCCGUGCCCAUCGCUCAAACAUGGACUUCGAUGGCGUUGAAUAGUAAUUCGCCUCAGAUUUGCAUGGGCAAUUUCCCAGACCAAGACAGGGGCGAAUGAGUAGGGCGUGGAUUAGAACUCGGCACAGAGGGCUAUGGGCCAUGGCCUGCUAUACUUUGUUCCCCUGCCAAGCAGAAGCACUGUACCCCCCAAGUAAUGAUAUAUGUACUCUCCUCUCCAUACUCUCCACAGGCUCCACUCCAUAGGCAGACGCACGGCGUGGCUUAGUCAUAAAAUGUAAAAAAACUUAACGACCCCGCAAUGUCUAGUGGAAACUUUUCGUAGAAACUGUUUGAUAUGCCAAACAACAUCUGAACUCGUCUUAAUGUUUUCGGGUACUUAAUUCUCUAAACAUUGCCCGCACGGAUCAUUAGAACGGCGAAGAAAAUGAUCUCUAAACGAUCGAAAUGGGGCCUCCCAAGACGUAGGAUUGAUUUCCCAGUAAAUAUGAAAGUUCAAAUCAUUAUAAAACCCACCGUAGGUCAUGCCCCGAAUGUACUUAUUAAAUUCUGGGCACAUUUUAACGAGCUCUCCCGUACAUUGGUCUCCCUCGACUGCGGUUCCGGGUUUCACCUUCCAAGCAACAGAAAAAAAAAAAAAACUGCUCGUUUGAGGAGAAAAAAGUGUAAUUAAACAUAAGCCCGAGCUGUGGCCCACACGUGCCUCCAGGCCCGUACAAGUGCGACUCCAUUUGUGGAACGAAAUUAACCUUGAUGACGCCAAAUACGAAAGCGAAUUGGCUAUUGCAUAACCAAAGAUACAUGCACGAGUGUACCAAAAUAAAAUCGAAAAAUGUUCACCGAGUAAAUGUUCACCGGUUUGUCAACCGAAAAAUCACCAAAAAAAAAAAAACAAAAAAACAAAGCUAGGCACAAAAGGAAUUACGGAUGCACCGAAGACAGAUACACACUUUACGGAGUUUCGGUUUUUCGCUGAGCCCCGGAUAGAAAAUACUUUCCACCACUUCUGGUGGAGGGGUUCUGGGGCCAGUGUAUGCCAAAAUAUGGGGGGCAAUUGCUGGAUAUA
rnacentral:sRNA from 1 species